rnacentral:lncRNA from 1 species
ACGCGCGCGCGCAUCACCACCGAGGACUUGAAGGAGAAGACAGAAGUUGUGGAGGAAACAGAGAAUGGAAGAGAUGCACCUGCCUAUGGGAACAGUCAAAAUGAGGAAAAUGGGGAGCAGGAGGCUGAAAAUGAGGUAGCUGAAGAAGAGGAAGAAGGUGGGGAGGAAGAGGAGGAGGAGGAGGAGGAGGAAGGUGAUGGUGAGGAAGAGAAUAGAGAUGAAGGUGAGGAAGCUGAGGCUCCUACGGGCAAACGGGUAGCUGAGGAUGAUGAGGAAGAUGAUGUCGACACCAAGAAGCAGAAUACUGACGAGGAUGAG